rnacentral:rRNA from 1 species
CCUACGGGAGGCAGCAGUGGGGAAUAUUGCACAAUGGGGGAAACCCUGAUGCAGCGACGCCGCGUGGGUGAAGAAGUUCUUCGUUAUGUAAAGCCCUAUCAGCAGGGAAGAAAAUGACGGUACCUGAGUAAGAAGCCCCGGCUAACUACGUGCCAGCCGCCGCGGUAAUACGUAGGGGGCAAGCGUUAUCCGGAUUUCCGGGGUGUAAAGGGGGCGUAGACGGCGAUGCAAGCCUGGAGUGAAAGGCGGGGGCCCAACCCCCGGACUGCUCUUGAAACUGUAAGGCUGGAGUGCAGGAGAGGUAGGUGGAAUUCCUAGUGUAGCGGUGAAAUGCGUAGAUAUUAGGAGGAACACCAGUGGCGAAGGCGGCUUACUGGACUGUAACUGACGUUGAGGCUCGAAAGCGUGGGGAGCAAACAGGAUUAGAUACCCCAGUAGUC